rnacentral:rRNA from 1 species
CCUACGGGGGGCAGCAGUGGGGAAUAUUGGACAAUGGGGGCAACCCUGAUCCAGCCAUGCCGCGUGUGUGAAGAAGGCCCUCGGGUUGUAAUGCACUUUCAGUGAGGAAGAACGCCUGGUGGUUAAUACCCAUCAGGAAAGACAUCACUCACAGAAGAAGCACCGGCUAACUCCGUGCCAGCAGCCGCGGUAAUACGGAGGGUGCGAGCGUUAAUCGGAAUUACUGGGCGUAAAGCGCGCGUAGGUGGCUUGAUAAGCCGGUUGUGAAAGCCCCGGGCUCAACCUGGGAACGGCAUCCGGAACUGUCAAGCUAGAGUGCAGGAGAGGAAGGUAGAAUUCACGGUGUAGCGGUGAAAUGCGUAGAGAUCGGGAGGAAUACCAGUGGCGAAGGCGGCCUUCUGGACUGACACUGACACUGAGGUGCGAAAGCGUGGGUAGCAAACAGGAUUAGAUACCCUAGUAGUC